GACGAACGCUGGCGGCGUGCUUAACACAUGCAAGUCGAACGAAGAGCGGUGGAACUUUGCUCCCAUCAAUUUUCGUGGCGAGCGGGAGUGUAACGCGUAAAAAACCUGCCUUUCACUGGGGGAACACCGUGGGAAACGACUGCUAAUACCGCAUACGAUCUAACCUCGGCAUUGAGGAUUGAUGAACGGUGUCGCUUUCACGUAUGCUUGGAUUGACGCCGGCGCUUGCGUCUGAUUAGCUAGUUGGGGGGGUAACGGCCUACCAAGGCGAUGAUCAGUAGCCGGUCUGAGAGGAUGAACGGCCACAUUGGAACUGAGACACGGCCCAGACUCCUACGGGAGGCAGCAGUGGGGAAUCUUCCGCAAUGGGCGAAAGUCUGACGGAGCAACGCCGCGUGAGUGAUGACGGCCUUCGGAUCGUAAAGCUCUGUUAUUCGGGACGAAAAGCUGUCUUGCUAAUAAUGAGAGGGUUGAAGGUAACCGGAAAAGAAGCCCACGCUAACUACGUG
rnacentral:rRNA from 1 species